rnacentral:rRNA from 1 species
GAUGAACGUUGGCGGCGUGGAUUAGGCAUGCAAGUCGGACGGUAGGGCUUUAUCGUAAGAUAGAGUUUGAGAGUGGCGAACGGGUGAGUAACACGUAGGAAUCUACCCUUAAGACGGGGACAACCCAGGGAAACUUGGGCUAAUACCGGAUGAGAGUGCGAGAGAUUGCAUUUAAAAGGAUGGCGAAAGUUAUCGCUUAGGGAUGAGCCUGCGGUCUAUUAGUUAGUUGGUGGGGUAAGAGCUCACCAAGGCGAUGAUAGAUAGGCGGCCUUAACGGGUGGUCGCCCACACUGGGAUUGAGAUACGGCCCAGACUCCUACGGGAGGCAGCAGUGAGGAAUAUUGGUCAAUGGAGGCAACUCUGAACCAGCCAAGUCGCGUGAAGGAUGAAGGUCUUAUGGAUUGUAAACUUCUUUUGCAGGGGAAUAAAUAGCGGUACGUGUACCGUUUUGCAUGUACCCUGCGAAUAAGGAUCGGCUAACUCCGUG